GACGUAGGGCGCGAGCGUUUGUCCGGAUUUAUUGGGCGUAAAGAGCUCGUAGGCGGUUUGUCGCGUCGUCCGUGAAAACUCACAGCUUAACUGUGAGCUUGCGGUCGAUACGGGCAGGCUAGAGUUCGGUAGGGGAGACUGGAAUUCCUGGUGUAGCGGUGAAAUGCACAGAUAUCAGGAGGAACACCGGUGGCGAAGGCGGGUCUCUGGGCCGAUACUGACGCUGAGGAGCGAAAGCGUGGGGGAGCAAACAGG
rnacentral:rRNA from 1 species